UCCAGACUCCUACGGGAGGCAGCAGUGAGGAAUAUUGGUCAAUGGGCGGGAGCCUGAACCAGCCAAGUCGCGUGAGGGAAGACGGUCCUAUGGAUUGUAAACCUCUUUUGUCGGGGAGCAAAGAGGCCACGUGUGGUCAAAAGCGAGAGUACCCGAAGAAAAAGCAUCGGCUAACUCCGUGCCAGCAGCCGCGGUAGUACGGAGGAUGCGAGCGUUAUCCGGAUUUAUUGGGUUUAAAGGGUGCGUAGGCGGGACGGUAAGUCAGGGGUAAAAAUGCGGAGCUCAACUCCGUCGAGCCGUUGAAACUGCCGUUCUUGAGUGAGCGAGAAGUAUGCGGAAUGCGUGGUGUAGCGGUGAAAUGCAUAGAUAUCACGCAGAACUCCGAUUGCGAAGGCAGCAUACCGGCGCUCAACUGACGCUCAGGCACGAAAGCGUGGGUAUCGAACAGGAUUAGAUACCCCGGUAUCA
rnacentral:rRNA from 1 species